ACAGAAAGAGAUGAGAAGGGGGCUAGGAAGCUCCGAUUACGGUCCUACAAACACCGAUCCGAACGUGGUGGAAUACGUCGACCGUUAGGGCUGUCACUACCCUAAGGCUACCACAACAAUCCGCAGGAUUGGGUGCAAUUCCAGGUAAUCGCAAGACUAAACACCACGUCUAAUCUAUUAAUUACUACUCUAGCGUUAUAAAGACUAGAGCACUUGAUGCAAGCGGGAAUCCAAUAAAUAACUUGAAGGUAAAUAAAAGUAAUUAAAGAACUCAGGAAUUAUGAGUUGAAGAACCUGGAGAACGAUGAAGAACGAACCAGAUGCUGCAAAAGUACAAUGUUGAGGAAGAUCCG
rnacentral:lncRNA from 1 species